AAAAAAAAUCAAAAAAAACCUAUGGGACCAUGGAUCACCGAUGACUGGCUCACGGACCAUUGGUUGGGAAACACUGACCUAGAGGAUUAAUGGAGUAAGAAAAUUAUGUGUUUCUUACAAAUUUUAAUUUGUCUACAGUGAUAGUUAACAUAGAUAAUAUAAAAAGUCGGGAAUGUACAUUUCUAAAAUGUGAUAAUUUAUGGGAGGGGUAAACCGAUCUAUUUACCAAAUUUCUAUCUAAACCAGUGUAGAUCAACACGGACCAGUGUUAUGAAUCGGAAUCAUAUUGUAUAUGAUUUAUGUAUUAUAUGUAUUGCACACCGGUUUGCGCUUACGAAUUUCUUGUACGGUGAAUCAUCUUGGAAGCACGUAAAAUAACCAAAAAUAAAUCAGCCGAACAUUAUUUAAGCU